UACGUAGGGUGCAAGCGUUGUCCGGAAUCAUUGGGCGUAAAGCGCGCGUAGGUGGCCAUUUAAGUCCGCUGUGAAAGUCAAAGGCUCAACCUUUGAAAGCCGGUGGAUACUGGAUGGCUAGAGUACGGAAGAGGCGAGUGGAAUUCCUGGUGUAGCGGUGGAAUGCGCAGAUAUCAGGAGGAACACCAAUAGCGAAGGCGGGACUCUGGGCCGAUACUGACGCUGAGGAGCGAAAGCGUGGGGAGCGAACAGG
rnacentral:rRNA from 1 species